rnacentral:rRNA from 1 species
GAUGAGCGCUGGCGGCGUGCCUAAUACAUGCAAGUCGAGCGAACAGACGAGGAGCUUGCUCCUCUGACGUUAGCGGCGGACGGGUGAGAAACACGUGGAUAACCUACCUAUAAGACUGGGAUAACUUCGGGAAACCGGAGCUAAUACCGGAUAAUAUAUUGAACCGCAUGGUUCAAUAGUGAAAGACGGUUUUGCUGUCACUUAUAGAUGGAUCCGCGCCGCAUUAGCUAGUUGGUAAGGUAACGGCUUACCAAGGCAACGAUGCGUAGCCGACCUGAGAGGGUGAUCGGCCACACUGGAACUGAGACACGGUCCAGACUCCUACGGGAGGCAGCAGUAGGGAAUCUUCCGCAAAGGGCGAAAGCCUGACGGAGCAACGCCGCGUGAGUGAUGAAGGUCUUCGGAUCGUAAAACUCUGUUAUUAGGGAAGAACAAAUGUGUAAGUAACUUUGCACGUCUUGACGGUACCUAAUCAGAAAGCCACGGCUAACUACGUG